rnacentral:rRNA from 1 species
GAUUAUGGCUCAGGAUGAACGCUAGCUACAGGCUUAACACAUGCAAGUCGAGGGGCAGCAUUGAGAUAGCUUGCUAUUCAGAUGGCGACCGGCGCACGGGUGAGUAACGCGUAUCCAACCUUCCCCUUAGUAGAGGAUAGCCCGGCGAAAGUCGGAUUAAUACUCUAUGUUGUAUUUUGAGGACAUCUGACGAAUACCAAAGAUUCAUCGCUAAGGGAUGGGGAUGCGUCUGAUUAGGUUGUUGGCGGGGUAACGGCCCACCAAGCCGACGAUCAGUAGGGGUUCUGAGAGGAAGGUCCCCCACAUUGGUACUGAGACACGGACCAAACUCCUACGGGAGGCAGCAGUGAGGAAUAUUGGUCAAUGGGCGCGAGCCUGAACCAGCCAAGUAAGCGUGCAGGAAGACUGCCCUAUGGGUUGUAAACUGCUUUUAUAGGGGAAUAAAGUGAGGGACGUGUCCCUUUUUGUAUGUACCCUAUGAAUAAGGACCGGCUAAUUCCGUGCCAGCCGCCGC